UACAGAGGGGGCAAGCGUUAUUCGGAAUUAUUGGGCGUAAAGGGCGCGUAGGCGGCUUUUCAAGUGACGGGUGAAAUCCCCUCGGCUUAACCGAGGAACUGCCUGUCAGACUGGAAGGCUUGAGACCGGGAGAGGUGAGUGGAAUUCCCAGUGUAGCGGUGAAAUGCGUAGAUAUUGGGAGGAACACCAGUGGCGAAGGCGGCUCACUGGACCGGAACUGACGCUGAGGCGCGAAAGCGUGGGAGCAAACAGG
rnacentral:rRNA from 1 species